rnacentral:rRNA from 1 species
UACGUAGGUGGCAAGCGUUGUCCGGAAUUACUGGGUGUAAAGGGCGUGUAGGCGGGGAGACAAGUCAGAUGUGAAAUACCGUGGCUUAACUGCGGGGUGCAUCUGAAACUGUUUCUCUUGAGUGUCGGAGAGGAAAGUGGAAUUCCCAGUGUAUCGGUGAAAUGCGUAGAGAUUGGGAGGAACACCAGUGGCGAAGGCGGCUUUCUGGACGAUAACUGACGCUGAGGCGCGAAAGCGUGGUAGCAAACAGGAUUAGAUACCCUGGUAGU